ensembl:lncRNA
ACCACAAGGUAGAGGUUUAUCUCUCACCUCGACAGACUUGAGGGGUUCUCUGCCAUCUGAUCUCUCAUUGCAACGUGGAGGCUGAUCUCUCACCGCAACACAGAGGCUGAUCUCUCAUGAUCUCUCACCACGACACGAGCUUCCUGCCUUCAGAUCCUUCUCUAGGGACCGUUUGCUGACGGACUUCCCUGGGCCUGCUACCUGAGACCUGCUGCUUCCUCCCUGACCUGCACCCUCUCGUUGCCCAAGACCGGCCUCGCUGCUCCUGCCCUUCGGCCUCGGACCGUCGGAACAUCGUGCAACGGGACUGCUGCCGGAUCCUGGUGAACCCAACUACAUGAUCUUAAGACUUAUGUCUUGGAAUCCUCUGAGAUGUUUGCUUCGAUACAUAAACUCUGUGUGCCAUCAUUAACGGCAAGAACAGGAAAACACUUCCC